rnacentral:rRNA from 1 species
UACGAAGGGGGCUAGCGUUGUUCGGAAUUACUGGGCGUCCAGCGCGCGCAGGCGGUUCUUCAAGUCAGAGGUGAAAGCCCAGAGCUCAACUCUGGAAUGGCCUUUGAGACUAGAGAACUAGGGUACGGGAGAGGUGAGUGGAAUUCCGAGUGUAGAGGUGAAAUUCGUAGAUAUUCGGAAGAACACCAGUGGCGAAGGCGGCUCACUGGCCCGUUACCGACGCUCAGGCGCGACAGCGUGGGGAGCAAACAGG